CCCCUAGAUGUUCUGGGCCGCACGCGCGCUACACUGAACAGUUCAACAAGUCUUAACCUUGGCCGAUAGGUCUGGGUAAUCUUUGAACGCUGUUCGUGAUUGGGAUAGACCUUUGCAAUUAUGGGUCUUCAACGAGGAAUUCCUAGUAAACGCAAGUCAUCAGCUUGCAUUGAUUACGUCCCUACCCUUUGUACACACCGCCCGUCGCACCUACCGAUUGAAGUUUUCGGUGAAUUUACUGAAGAUCCCUUUUGAAGGUGGUUCGCCACUGGACGAAGUAUUCAAAAGUAAAUGAAUCGANUNCUUUAGNGGAAGGAGAANUCGUANCA
rnacentral:rRNA from 1 species